AAUAUUGCGCAAUGGACGGAAGUCUGACGCAGCGACGCCGCGUGAGCGAUGAAGGCCUUCGGGUCGUCAAGCUCUGUUCUUGGGGAAGAAGGUCUUCGGACCUGACGCUACCCAAGAAGCAAGCCCCGGCUAACUACGUGCCAGCAGCCGCGGUAAUACGUAGGGGGCGAGCGUUGUCCGGAAUUACUGGGCGUAAAGGGUGCGUAGGCGGCCCUUUAAGUCAGAUGUGAAAGGCCACGGCUUAACCGUGGGAUUGCAUUUGAAACUGGAGGGCUUGAGUGUCGGAGAGGGUAGUGGAAUUCCCAGUGUAGCGGUGAAAUGCGUAGAUAUUGGGAGGAACACCAGUGGCGAAGGCGACUCUCUGGACUGCAACUGACGCUGAGGCACGAAAGCGUGGGGAGCGAAC
rnacentral:rRNA from 1 species